CAUCUAAGGGGUCCAAAUGAAACCCCAUCGAGAGUCUUGCAAAAGAGAAUAGUGAGAGAAAGGGGUAGAGAGAACCUAGAGAGAGGAGAAAGGAUGAACCGCCGGAAGACUCACCGAAAACUACCGUCGGAGUCUAUUUCGGUGAAGAUCAUGAUGCAAAGAGGUGAAGAUCAUGAUGCAGGGAGACUUUCUUGGAAGGGAAAAGAGAAUGUGGGUGGCCGGAGUCCCAUUUUUCAUCAAGAAAUCGGAAAACCCGCAAGGAACAACUCUACGCAUGAUCUGUGAAGAAGUUUGGCCGAGACCUCAACCCAAAGGUGGAGAUCCAAGAGUCGUCCGAGAACGGUGAGUGAACUUUCGACGUUCUUAACUCGUCCGGUAGUCAAGUAAAAAUUACAAAAAAAAUACUAGGACGUAGCCCGUAACACGAUCUAAAACUUUACCGAAGGAAUCAUGUCGAUCCGAUCUACUGAUCGAAAGAUAUGAAAAUCGGAAAAGAGGACUGUGUUUCGGUUUUCAGAGGGCAGAGAAGAAAGAAGAAAAAAAAAAAA